rnacentral:rRNA from 1 species
UACGUAGGGUGCAAGCGUUGUCCGGAAUUAUUGGGCGUAAAGAGCUCGUAGGCGGUCUGUCGCGUUUGCUGUGAAAACUCAGGGCUUAACCCUGAGCUUGCAGUGGGUACGGGCAGACUAGAGUGCGGUAGGGGAGACUGGAAUUCCUGGUGUAGCGGUGAAAUGCGCAGAUAUCAGGAGGAACACCGGUGGCGAAGGCGGGUCUCUGGGCCGUAACUGACGCUGAGGAGCGAAAGCAUGGGGAGCGAACAGG